rnacentral:rRNA from 1 species
GUCCUUUUGAUAUUUAUAUAAGGUCUGACCUGCCCACUGAUUUUUUUGAAGGGCCGCAGUAAUUUGACUGUGCAAAGGUAGCAUAAUCAUUAGUUUUUUAAUUAAAAGCUUGUAUGAAGGGUUGGACGAGGUAAAAUCUGUCUCUAUUUAAAUUAUUAUAGAAUUUAAUUUUUAAGUUAAAAAGCUUAAAUUUAUUUAAAAGACGAGAAGACCCUAUAGAUCUUUAUAUAAAUUAUAUUAAUUUUAAUUAAGAAUAUUUUAUUUAUUAUUAUUAUUUAUAUUUUAUUGGGGUAAUAAAAAGAUUAAGAAAAUUCUUUUUUUAUUUAAACAUUGAUUUAUGAUUAAAUGAUCCAAUAUUUUUGAUUAAAAGAUUAAGUUACCUUAGGGAUAACAGCGUAAUUUUUUUAGAGAGUUCAUAUCGAUAAAAAAGUUUGCGACCUCGAUGUUGGAUUAAAAAUUAUCUUAGGUGCAGAAGUUUAAGAUUUUGGUCUGUUCGACCAUUAAAUUUUUACA